rnacentral:rRNA from 1 species
GACGUAGGGCGCGAGCGUUGUCCGGAUUUAUUGGGCGUAAAGAGCGUGUAGGCGGCCAGGUAGGUCUGCUGUGAAAACUCGAGGCUCAACCUCGAGACGCCGGUUGAAACCAUCUGGCUAGAGUCCGGAAGAGGAGAGUGGAAUUCCUGGUGUAGCGGUGAAAUGCGCAGAUAUCAGGAAGAACACCCGUGGCUAAGGCGGCUCUCUAGUACGGUACUGACGCUGAGACGCGAAGGCGUGGGGAGCGAACAGG